GGAUGCAAGCGUUAUCCGGAAUGGUUGGGCGUAAAGCGUCCGCAGGUGGCAGUUCAAGUCUGCUGUCAAAGACCGGGGCUUAACUUCGGAAAGGCAGUGGAAACUGAACAGCUAGAGUAUGGUAGGGGCAGAGGGAAUUCCAGGUGUAGCGGUGAAAUGCGUAGAUAUCUGGAGGAACACCGGUGGCGAAGGCGGCAUCCUGGACCAACACUGACGCUGAGGAGCGAAAGCCAGGGGAGCAAACGGG
rnacentral:rRNA from 1 species